AAGACCCCCUAUUUCCCUCACAGAGCUACAAUUCUCAGAGAGUUUUAACAAUGAAUUUGUCUGAGAUUUGUAGCUCUGCGAGGAAGAUAGGGGUCU